rnacentral:rRNA from 1 species
GAUGAACGCUAGCGGCAGGCUUAACACAUGCAAGUCGAGGGGUAGAGGAAGCUUGCUCCCUUGAGACCGGCGCACGGGUGCGUAACGCGUAUACAAUCUACCUUUUACAGAGGGAUAGCCCAGAGAAAUUUGGAUUAAUACCUCAUAGUAUAGCAGUUUCGCAUGAAACCACUAUUAAAGUCACAACGGCAAAAGAUGAGCAUGCGUCCCAUUAGCUAGUUGGUAAGGUAACGGCUUACCAAGGCUACGAUGGGUAGGGGUCCUGAGAGGGAGAUCCCCACACUGGUACUGAGACACGGACCAGACUCCUACGGGAGGCAGCAGUGAGGAAUAUUGGACAAUGGCGGCAAGCCUGAUCCAGCCAUGCCGCGUGCAGGAUGACGGUCCCUAUGGAUUGUAAACUAGCUUUUGUACAGGAAGAAACACUCCCUCGUGAGGGAGCUUGACGGUACUGUAAGAAUAAGGAUCGGACUAACUACCGUGCCAGCAG